rnacentral:rRNA from 1 species
UUAAGCGACUAAGCGUACACGGUGGAUGCCCUGGCAGUCAGAGGCGAUGAAGGACGUGCUAAUCUGCGAAAAGCGCCGGCGAGGUGAUAUGAACCUUUGACCCGGCGAUGUCCGAAUGGGGAAACCCAGUGCAAUUCGUUGCACUAUCGUUAACUGAAUACAUAGGUUAACGAGGCGAACCGGGGGAACUGAAACAUCUAAGUACCCCGAGGAAAAGAAAUCAACCGAGAUUCCCCCAGUAGCGGCGAGCGAACGGGGAGGAGCCCAGAGUCUGAAUCAGCGUGUGUGUUAGUGGAAGCGUCUGGAAAGUCGCACGAUACAGGGUGAUAGUCCCGUACACGAAAAUGCACAGGCUGUGAACUCGAAGAGUAGGGCGGGACACGUGGUAUCCUGUCUGAAUAUGGGGGGACCAUCCUCCAAGGCUAAAUACUCCUGACUGACCGAUAGUGAACCAGUACCGUGAGGGAAAGGCGAAAAGAACCCCGGCGAGGGGAGUGAAAAAGAACCUGAAACCGUGUACGUACAAGCAGUGGGAGCCCCACCACUAAGCCAGUGGUGAGUCCACGUCAGCAUCCUUUGCCGAAGGUAAGGUUAACGGAGCGCAAGCGACGUUCAACCUCAAAAGAAGCAGAGGGGGCUUAGUGGUGGGGUGACUGCGUACCUUUUGUAUAAUGGGUCAGCGACUUAUAUUCUGUAGCAAGGUUAACCGAAUAGGGGAGCCGAAGGGAAACCGAGUCUUAACUGGGCGUUAAGUUGCAGGGUAUAGACCCGAAACCCGGUGAUCUAGCCAUGGGCAGGUUGAAGGUUGGGUAACACUAACUGGAGGACCGAACCGACUAAUGUUGAAAAAUUAGCGGAUGACCUGUGGCUGGGGGUGAAAGGCCAAUCAAACCGGGAGAUAGCUGGUUCUCCCCGAAAGCUAUUUAGGUAGCGCCUCGUGAACUCAUCUUCGGGGGUAGAGCACUGUUUCGGCUAGGGGGUCAUCCCGACUUACCAACCCGAUGCAAACUGCGAAUACCGAAGAAUGUUAUCACGGGAGACACACGGCGGGUGCUAACGUCCGUCGUGAAGAGGGAAACAACCCAGACCGCCAGCUAAGGUCCCAAAGUCAUGGUUAAGUGGGAAACGAUGUGGGAAGGCCCAGACAGCCAGGAUGUUGGCUUAGAAGCAGCCAUCAUUUAAAGAAAGCGUAAUAGCUCACUGGUCGAGUCGGCCUGCGCGGAAGAUGUAACGGGGCUAAACCAUGCACCGAAGCUGCGGCAGCGGCGCUUAUGCGUUGUUGGGUAGGGGAGCGUUCUGUAAGCCGUUGAAGGUGUGCUGUGAGGCAUGCUGGAGGUAUCAGAAGUGCGAAUGCUGACAUAAGUAACGAUAAAGCGGGUGAAAAGCCCGCUCGCCGGAAGACCAAGGGUUCCUGUCCAACGUUAAUCGGGGCAGGGUGAGUCGACCCCUAAGGCGAGGCCGAAAGGCGUAGUCGAUGGGAAACAGGUUAAUAUUCCUGUACUUGGUGUUACUGCGAAGGGGGGACGGAGAAGGCUAUGUUAGCCGGGCGACGGUUGUCCCGGUUUAAGCAUGUAGGCGGAGGUUCCAGGUAAAUCCGGUACCUUUUAACGCUGAGGUGUGAUGACGAGGCACUACGGUGCUGAAGUAACAAAUGCCCUGCUUCCAGGAAAAGCCUCUAAGCAUCAGGUAACACGAAAUCGUACCCCAAACCGACACAGGUGGUCAGGUAGAGAAUACCAAGGCGCUUGAGAGAACUCGGGUGAAGGAACUAGGCAAAAUGGUGCCGUAACUUCGGGAGAAGGCACGCUGACAUGUAGGUGAAGCCCCUGCGGGUGGAGCUGAAGUCAGUCGAAGAUACCAGCUGGCUGCAACUGUUUAUUAAAAACACAGCACUGUGCAAACACGAAAGUGGACGUAUACGGUGUGACGCCUGCCCGGUGCCGGAAGGUUAAUUGAUGGGGUUAUCCUUAGGGAGAAGCUCUUGAUCGAAGCCCCGGUAAACGGCGGCCGUAACUAUAACGGUCCUAAGGUAGCGAAAUUCCUUGUCGGGUAAGUUCCGACCUGCACGAAUGGCGUAAUGAUGGCCAGGCUGUCUCCACCCGAGACUCAGUGAAAUUGAACUCGCUGUGAAGAUGCAGUGUACCCGCGGCAAGACGGAAAGACCCCGUGAACCUUUACUAUAGCUUGACACUGAACAUUGAGCCUUGAUGUGUAGGAUAGGUGGGAGGCUUUGAAGCGUGGACGCCAGUCUGCGUGGAGCCAACCUUGAAAUACCACCCUUUAAUGUUUGAUGUUCUAACCUGGCGCCGUGAUCCGGCGUGGGGACAGUGUCUGGUGGGUAGUUUGACUGGGGCGGUCUCCUCCUAAAGAGUAACGGAGGAGCACGAAGGUUGGCUAAUCCUGGUCGGACAUCAGGAGGUUAGUGCAAUGGCAUAAGCCAGCUUGACUGCGAGCGUGACGGCGCGAGCAGGUGCGAAAGCAGGUCAUAGUGAUCCGGUGGUUCUGAAUGGAAGGGCCAUCGCUCAACGGAUAAAAGGUACUCCGGGGAUAACAGGCUGAUACCGCCCAAGAGUUCAUAUCGACGGCGGUGUUUGGCACCUCGAUGUCGGCUCAUCACAUCCUGGGGCUGAAGUAGGUCCCAAGGGUAUGGCUGUUCGCCAUUUAAAGUGGUACGCGAGCUGGGUUUAGAACGUCGUGAGACAGUUCGGUCCCUAUCUGCCGUGGGCGCUGGAGAAUUGAGGGGGGCUGCUCCUAGUACGAGAGGACCGGAGUGGACGCAUCACUGGUGUUCGGGUUGUCAUGCCAAUGGCAUUGCCCGGUAGCUACAUGCGGAAGAGAUAAGUGCUGAAAGCAUCUAAGCACGAAACUUGCCCCGAGAUGAGUUCUCCCUGAGACUUAGAGUCUCCUGAAGGAACGUUGAAGACGACGACGUUGAUAGGCCGGGUGUGUAAGCGCAGCGAUGCGUUGAGCUAACCGGUACUAAUGAACCGUGAGGCUUAACCUU